CAGUAUGAGUACAAAUAGUAAAUUCAAGCUAAUAAUGUAGAAUUUUCAUUUUUCUUUACUUAUACUACUACUGAGCCAAAAAAUUUUAAAUACCAUAACAAAGUAAGAGACAAACUGUGGAGGAAAGAACAAGCUUUGUAUUUUAGGACCUUUAAUGGUGCUUUUUACUGCAUUUUGAACAAGAGGUCCCAGAUUUUCAUUUUGCAGUAGACCCUGCCAAUUACGCAGCCAGCCCCACCUGUGAUUGCAGCAGCCGUCAAUUCAAGUGGCUUUGGGACAUUUGGUGGUAACUUGAUGGAGGCAGUGGCGAAGGCUGAGAAACUGCACAAACAUCACUGAAGGCGACACAGAAGAAAGGGGUCUGGAAGGGAGGUGGGGGCAUUGACUAGUAGCCUUUAGCAGUGCCCCUUGUGCAGCUUUCCGGGAAUGGCAGGGACAGCAUCACUAAAGAGAGAUGCUUAGUGUAAAGAGGCAGGUUCAUCCCUUUAAACUGCAUGGAUUUCUCUGCAAUUUAGUGCUGAGAAGUGAUGUUAGAGAAAGGCUCUUUUCUCAUAUGAUUGCUGAUAACCUUCUGUCUAUUACUCGAGCUCACUACUUGGAUGUAUUUGUGCAGCAAAGCUGAGCCCUUCCUCUCAGGAAACCCAGGGAACAGCGUGAUAGAUCAAUUGAUUUGUCAAGCCCCAGCAGACAGAAACAAUUUCCUUGGCUAGACUUGGCUAAUGCAGAUGGCCGGCUCCUUCACCCUUAGCACACCUCAGCCUGGCCACGGAUAAUGUUUCUGGGAGGAUGUCACAGUCUCCCUGGAAAGCUCUGGGCUCUUCCUCUAGGCAUUUGAAAGAGAAGAUAGCACAGCGCAGCACCAGCCUGAGAAAACCAUUAGCGUAACUUGGGUGUGCCUGGGAGAACAGAUUAGGUUGUAAGGUGCCUGCUGGUAGUCCCAUUGAAAUCUGAUCCUGCCUUCCGUUCCUGUGGUGUCAACCACCAGCACACCUGAGGCUCAAGGUGGAGAGAAGACAAAGAACAUACCAGCCAAAUGCCAGUUCUUUAUACUUGCAGCACUGACUUCUAGCCUCUGUCUGAUAAACUGAGAUUGUGUUGUCAAGAAGCACAUGACUUUGGUACCUUAGCAGAUUCUCUCCUUACUGAUUUUACUGCUUUGAAGGCAGGGAGGAGAAGAGGAGAGCCUCCCACCCAUCCUCUACAGAUACUCGUAUCAUUCUUCACAUUAAAUGCUCCAACCAUCUCUAGUCCCGUGCAGGUGGGCAUGGGGUGGGGAAGGGCUUGAGAACUCUGUUACAGGCAUUCCGAAAACCACAGUAGGGUUGGAGUUCCCUGCUUCCGCACAGCCAUUUGCCCUCCAUCUCUUUAGUCCCUGGAGUACCUUCCCUACUUCAUUGGCUAGUGUUCAUCAAAUCCAUUUCUUCUUUUUCCUGGCUACACAGGUAGGACCACAUUUCCCAGCCUCUCUUGCUGUAAGUUGUAGCCAUGCAACGGGGUUCUAGCCAAUAGAAUGAGAGCAGAAGUCAUCAGUGUCACUUCUAGGCCUGAGCCAACAGACCUCUUUCCCUUGUGCAGACUGAUGCAGAGGACCACAGCACCAAGAGAGCUGAGUGAUAAAGGUGGUUGGGCCACAAUAAAGAAGCGAUCCUGGUCCUUUCAUCUCCACUUGAAGGAUAGCCACCCUUCAAUCAUCAGGAAUUUCCAUUCUGGAAAGGGAGAGAUGAACUCUUAUUAUAUCUAGGGGUUGUUUCAGCAGCCAGGGUUAUCAUAACCAAUAACAACUGACUUCCAAUAAUAGCGUUCAUCCUCCUGGGGACUUAGCCACAGACAUUAACUGUUCAGAUGUCCUCCAGCCGUCUGGAGACUCCCUGAUCUUUGUUUGAUAUUUCAUUUUAAAGGCUGAAAUUCCUUCAUACUUUAGGGGGAAAUCAUGGCCCUCCUCUUCCCACCUCCAUCCCUACCAGCAUCUCCUGGGGUUCCUGAAAGACUUACUUUUCUCCUGAUCACAUCUUGCUCUGACAUCACACAGGUGAGCAAGGACAUGAUGGGGUUCUUUGGUCUUUCGUGUUUCUUAGAGCACCAUUGUCUUCCUUCUGCAUUCAAAACAAGUUCUGGUUUGAGUGGAAGCCAUGGAAAUUGUUGGCUUGUUCUCUCUUUGAGUCCUGCUGAAGUCCCAUGCACCAGGGUCCACUGAAAUUCUGUACCAAUGGGGGUAUUGCAAACACUGACUGUGAAUGGGGAGGCAGAGAACAGUGGAUGUGUGUACUACACCUGUCUCCUGUGCUCAGGCACAGGCUCUAUUGUCCUAUCAGACUAACAAAACAGAGAUUCACAGAUAGGAUAUUAACCGUUUUAAGAGGAUGAAAGCAGAGCAUUAAAUCUCAAAAGGGAUUCUUUUCUCCUGGGCCCUUAUGUGACUGCACAGUUCACGAGCCUCUGAGUCUAACUCUGGAGAAGUACACCCCUUUUGUCCUUCCUCUCGCUGGCUGGCAGAGCAGGUGUGUGAGUCUGGGGGAAGAAGGGACAGAUCAGAGGGGAACAGAUGAAGACUGCAUGAUGUAAAACCUCUUUCUGAUUCUUCCACUGGAAUCAUCUGCGAUGAUGUUUGUGAACUGGAUUUUCCUUUGGGGAAUGUAAUUAAGUGUUGCAUCAUGCGUCAGGCCUCUUGUGGAACAAAAGUAGAGCCAAAAGAUGGGGCAUUGAUGUGCAGGUUACAUGUGCAGAUGUGGGGCUAGGGAUGCGCACACAACAAACAACUUUGAAUAAUUGAACCAUGUUCUUUAACAUCCUUUGUCUGACCUGCCACUGGGAACUUUUCUCUGGUGUGGACUCUCCCAAAUCCUGCCUCCUGGCCUCUCUGGGUCCUCAUUCUCUCCAUUAACCCCCUACCCCCAUUGCCUUUGGAAGUGCAAAAUGUUUUCUACUUUAUUUGCAGGGCAGUUAUUUCUACUUCUGAUUGAUCCUGAUCUAAUAGGCCAAACUAUGCUACCAAGUUAAUUGCUGAAGGAAAUAAAAACAAAACGACAAGCAAAAACGUGGCUUAUUUCCUUUAAGAAUUUGGCUGCCAGUAUUUACAUAAUUAUUUUUCUCCCAAAUACUCUAGUAACAGACUUUCUUGACAUGGUUUUAAAACCCUCAGAAAUACAUCCCUGCCUCCCUAGGUGAGUGUGGAGACUCUUCCUCUGGUCUCCUAUAAAAUCUUGUGCAUAUCAUAUAUAUACCUACAUAUACAUAUAGUCAAAAAUCAACAAAGCCAGAUGUUAAAAUGCUAAAAUAGAUUUUAUUCAGCAACUAUUGAUAGCUGAGAAAGAGCUGAGCUCCCUUCCAAUUUGUGCAGUGAUGACUGGGCACUUCAAAGUGGAAUGAGGGAAUCGGGAGAGGGGUGGUCAGGGAUGUGAAAAAUUACAACAGGUUGGUCAGUUAAAUGCAUCAAGUCAGCUGUGUUUGUUGGCUGGUAAUUGAGGCUGACAAAUGAGGAUUCUGUCCUCCCACAGAAACUGGGGGACAGAGGCCCUAUUCUUCCUGAUGAUUACAUUCCAGAGAAAUCGCUUUCAGGUCCUUGAGAAAGAUGCCACUGCCACAUAUUGUCAAUUGUAAGCCCUUUGUAGUAAAUUGUUAAGCAAGGCAUCUCAUGUGUACAGUCUGCUCAGCCACAUAAGGAAGGUCCCUGGGCCUGGAACAGUCCUUACCGGGAGAUAAGGGGCCCACACAGUCUGCACUGGGCUUGUCAUCUUGUGUGGGAAUAUCUUUCCCUGUUUCAGGUGGAAUGUGCUCCUUCUGCGUCAGCAUGUGUCAGCCAUCCUCAGGCACACCUUCAGCCUUCAGUAUUUCCAGCUCCAGGGGAAGAGUGGAGGCCCUUCCACCGCAGCAAAAGAUAGUUUCCAAGUGGAAUCCAAGCACAUCCUACCUAGGUGCUCCGCUUGUGGUCUCCUAGGGCUACAAUCCAGAACUACAAGACCGUUUCUCUCACCCCGAACCCACCAGGAUGACCUGACCUGCAGUGCCCCAAACUUGUCCGUGUGGCAACAGUUUUGAUGCCACCGUCCAUCAGAGCAGUGCCUUCUCCAGGGACUAAUUCACCAGAGGCUGCAAGAUCGUCUGCAGGAUGUGCAUCACUGGAGUCAAAGAAGUUGCUGAAAAUUGAAAACAGAACUUCCCGGGUCCUUUGAGUGAUCAACCAGCCUUGGGUGACCUGGCCCGUGCCUAGCUCUCCAGCCUCAGCCCUCUCUGACACCCUCCGACUUGACAUCUCGUGCUUGGGGCCCUGCCCGCAGCCCUGCAGCAGGAAACGUAAGCAGAGGCAAGUGGCAAACAGGACAGAAUCUGUAGCAUAUAUAAAAGUCCGACAGUUUUCAUGCAUAUGACAUAUAUAAACAGUUACUAUGGAUCAGUAAGCAAAUCAUGAGCUGUCCACAAAGAAAAAUCUAUAUAUAAACAGCCAUCCGAAAACAGAAAAAUACAUGUAGGGAGAAUAAACAUGAGGGAUAAAAGCCCAACCAUCAUAGUAACAAAAGAAAUACAAAUUAAAAGGGCAAUGAAUAUUUUCUGCCUUUGUAGGUGAAGGGGUGAAUUAAGACCUCUCCCAUGCGGCUGAUGAAGUGCAGAUUAGCAAAGAUUCCUCAUGGGAAACUUUACUGCAUGAAAAAAGUCUUUUAAAAUGUGUAAAACAGUGACUAAGCAAUUCCACUGGUACAAAUUUAUCCUGAGGAAAUAAUUAGUAGAUUAAGAAUUUUUUUCACUUUGGGGAUGUAUAUAUAACACAGUGUGGUUUCUAAUGGAGAAUACAUAGAAAUAAUCCAAAGUGCCAACAAUUGGGUACUUUUAAAGUAAAUUCCAUACAAUACACUACACGCAUCUAUUUAAAAGGGAAGUAUGGAAGUAUAACUGUUGACAUGAGACGGAUGUUUGUUCGUAAAUUUUUAAGAGAAAAAAGUUUAUAAAAAUAUGACACUAUUUUUUAUUUCAAAAAAGGUAUAUGUAUGAAAUGACAGGGAGAGUAUACACCAAACCAUAAACACUGGUUAUACCUAGAAUAGACUUGCUGGUGAAGAAAUUUGGGGGAAGCCUUUCUACAUUUUUCCAUCUUUGAACAAUAAUACUGAUUUAUUGGUAUAAUAAAAAGUAGUUUAAAAAUAACUCAAAUAAAAUUGCCGAACUUAGAGUUAUUUAUUGUUGAAGGAAUAGACUUGAGCAACUUAAUUUUAAAAAUAAAGCCAGCCAUUUACUUCAAUCCAGAAGACAUUUAUCCAUCUAAGAGCCAGGCGUGGUUGUGUGUUGGUGUAGGGAACACUGGUAAUUCACACAGUUGCUUAAAUAAACCUUGUUAAAUUACAAA